UACGUAGGGGGCAAGCGUUGUCCGGAUUUAUUGGGCGUAAAGAGCGUGUAGGCGGCUAGAUAGGUCCGUUGUGAAAACUCGAGGCUCAACCUCGAGACGUCGAUGGAAACCAUCUGGCUAGAGUCCGGAAGAGGAGAGUGGAAUUCCUGGUGUAGCGGUGAAAUGCGUAGAUAUCGGUAGGAACACCAGUGGCGAAGGCGGUCUCCUGGGGCAUUCUUGACGCUGAGGCGCGAAAGCUGGGGGAGCAAACGGG
rnacentral:rRNA from 1 species